GAUGAAGAACGCAGCGAAAUGCGAUAAGUAAUGUGAAUUGCAGAAUUCAGUGAAUCAUCGAAUCUUUGAACGCACAUUGCGCCCGCCAGCACUCUGGCGGGCAUGCCUGUUCGAGCGUCAUUUCAACCAUCAAGCCCCCAGGGGCUUGUGCUGGGGCCCUGCGGCUGCCCGCAGGCCCUGAAAACCAGUGGCGGGCUCGCUAGUCACACCGAGCGCAGUAGCACAUCUCGCUCAGGGCGUGCGGCGGGCUCCUGCCGUGAAACCCCCCACUGUAACCCCAAAGGUUGACCUCGGAUCAGGUAGGAAUACCCGCUGAACUUAAGCAUAUCAAUGCGGAGGA
rnacentral:misc_RNA from 1 species